CGAGCGGAAGGCCCUUCGGGGUACUCGAGCGGCGAACGGGUGAGUAACACGUGAGCAACCUGCCCUAGGCUUUGGGAUAACCCCGGGAAACCGGGGCUAAUACCGGAUAUUCACUUGCGGACGCAUGUUUGUGGGUGGAAAGUUUUUCGGCUUGGGAUGGGCUCGCGGCCUAUCAGCUUGUUGGUGGGGUGAUGGCCUACCAAGGCGACGACGGGUAGCCGGCCUGAGAGGGCGACCGGCCACACUGGGACUGAGACACGGCCCAGACUCCUACGGGAGGCAGCAGUGGGGAAUAUUGCACAAUGGGCGGAAGCCUGAUGCAGCGACGCCGCGUGAGGGAUGACGGCCUUCGGGUUGUAAACCUCUUUCAGCAGGGACGAAGCGUAAGUGACGGUACCUGCAGAAGAAGCGCCGGCCAACUACGUGCCAGCAGCCGCGGUAAGACGUAGGGCGCGAGCGUUGUCCGGAUUUAUUGGGCGUAAAGAGCUCGUAGGCGGCUUGUCGCGUCGACUGUGAAAACCCGUGGCUCAACUGCGGGCCUGCAGUCGAUACGGGCAGGCUAGAGUUCGGUAGGGGAGACUGGAAUUCCUGGUGUAGCGGUGAAAUGCGCAGAUAUCAGGAGGAACACCGGUGGCGAAGGCGGGUCUCUGGGCCGAUACUGACGCUGAGG
rnacentral:rRNA from 1 species